UACCAGCACCCCGAGUGGUCGGGACGAUUAUUGGGCCUAAAGCAUCCGUAGCCGGCCUUACAAGUCCUCCGUUAAAUCCAGCUGCUUAACAGAUGGGCUGCGGAGGAUACUAUAAGACUAGGAGGCAGGAGAGGCAAGCGGUACUCAGUGGGUAGGGGUAAAAUCCGUUGAUCCAUUGAAGACCACCAGUGGCGAAGGCGGCUUGCCAGAAUGCGCUCGACGGUGAGGGAUGAAAGCUGGGGAG
rnacentral:rRNA from 1 species